UCUUUAACAUCUGAUAUUUUUAUUAUCUAGAGCUCUGUAAAAAAAAAAUAUAAAAAAAAAUAUAAAAAAAGAAAAUACCAAAAAAUGAUAUAUGAAAACAAAAUUGUUUGUAAACAGAGUUCUAGAUAAUAAACAUUGAGGGUGGUGUAAAAGGUGGGAUUCUUGUAAUAUUUUUUAUGACCCCCACCUUAAAGUCUUCUUAUGUUAUCAUGUUUAAAACAAACAAAAAUUGGAAUGGCAAUUUAAAAAGUACAGUUCCUAUAUGUGUAGGGACAGUGCCACUAUAUAUGUACGUUAAAGAACCCUUGCCACAAGUCUUUGAGGGGUCAGUAGGUGGCCUGUUGCAAGGCUUAAUUUCUGUCCACCAUAUCCUCCUCUCAGUUGGCAGUCAAAAUUUCCCUUACCUUCAUCAUAGGCCCACUUUAUAGAACCUACAAAUUGAUUUGUUAUGAAAUGAAGAGAUGCGAGACAUUACUAUCCUACAGAGAGACCAAAUGAUGUUGAUGUAAAAUAGGUUACUGUAUGGACUUCAACAAUGAGAAAAUCAUCCAACAUUAAAAUUUUGCAAUAUUCUGAAUUAGAAUGACUUUGUUAAUACCUCUAACCUUUAACAUCCGAUAUUUUUAUUAUCUAGAGCUCUGUAAAAAAAUAUACAAAAAAAAUAUAUAAAAUGAAAAUGCCAAAAAAUAUAUACAAAAAAAAUUAUCAAAAAUGAAAAUACCAAAAAAUGAUAUGAAAACAAAAUUGUUUGUAAACAGAGUUCUAGAUAAUAAACAUUGAGGGUGGUGUAAAAGGUGGGAUUAUUGUUAUAUUUUUUAUGACCCCCGCUUUAAAGUCUUCUAAAGUUAUCAUUUUUAAAACAAACAAAAAUUGGAAUGGCAAUUUAAAAAGUAUAUAGUUCCUAUGUGUAGGGACAGUGCCACUCUGCACGUUAAAGAACCCUUGCCACAAGUCUUUGAGGGGUCAGUAGGUGGCCUGUUGCAAGGCUUAAUUUCUGUCCAACAUAUCCUCCUCUCAGUUGGCAGUCAAAAUUUCCCUUACCUUCAUCAUAGGCCCACUUUAUAGAACCUACAAAUUGAUUUGUUAUGAAAUGAAGAGAUGCAAGACAACUAACCUACAGAGACCAAAUGAAGUUGCAUGUUACUGUAUGGACUUCAACAAUGAGAAAAUCAACCAACAUUAAAAUUUUUGCAAUAUUCUGAAUUAGAAUGACUUUGAUAAUACCUCUAACCUUUAAUAUCCGAUAGCCCCAAGGGUGACUGGGGAAUAGAAGUAUGGUCACCAUUGGUCUUCCUCCGACCGGCAGUAAAACCCGUGCUAAAGUGGGGCGUCCCUUUGGCUGUGCGGGAUGUACAAAUUUGCAGCCACGUCCGGUCAGAAUGGGGACGUUAAAUCCGAUGCCUCUUGUAAAGAAAGUGCCACGUUCUUUGCACGUUAAGAACCCUUGCAACAACUCUUUGAGGGGUCCAUAGGUGACCUGUUGCAAGGCUAAAUUUUUGUCCCUAUCCAAUAUACCCUCAUUUCCAGUGGCAGUCUAAAUUUCUCCGACCUUAAUCCCUUAAUCUAUUACAGAACCUACCUAUUGUAUUUAUUGUGAACUUGUUCUCGUCCUGAAUAUGCAUGAAAUAUUUGCCACUGGACGUUAAGCAACCAACAAUCAAUCAAUCAAUAAUAUCCGAUAUUUUUAUUAUCUAGAGCUCUGUAAAAAAAUAUUAAAAAAAAAAAUAUAAAAAAUGAAAAUACCAAAAAAUUAUAUGAAAACAAAACUGUUUGUAAACAGAGUUCUAGAUAAUAAACAUUGAGGGUGGUGUAAAAGGUGGGAUUAUUGUAAUAUUUUUUAUGACCCCCGCUUUAAAGUCUUCUAAAGUUAUCAUUUUUAAAACAAACAAAAAUUGGAAUGGCAAUUUAAAAAGUAUAUAGUUCCUAUGUGUAGGGACAGUGCCACUCUGCACGUUAAAGAACCCUUGCCACAAGUCUUUGAGGGGUCAGUAGGUGGCCUGUUGCAAGGCUUAAUUUCUGUCCAACAUAUCCUCCUCUCAGUUGGCAGUCAAAAUUUCCCUUACCUUCAUCAUAGGCCCACUUUAUAGAACCUACAAAUUGAUUUGUUAUGAAAUGAAGAGAUGCGAGACAUUACUAUCCUACAGAGAGACCAAAUGAUGUUGAUGUAAAAUAGGUUACUGUAUGGACUUCAACAAUGAGAAAAUCAUCCAACAUUAAAAUUUUGCAAUAUUCUGAAUUAGAAUGACUUUGUUAAUACCUCUAACCUUUAACAUCCGAUAUUUUUAUUAUCUAGAGCUCUGUAAAAAAAUAUACAAAAAAAAUAUAUAAAAUGAAAAUGCCAAAAAAUAUAUACAAAAAAAAUUAUCAAAAAUGAAAAUACCAAAAAAUGAUAUGAAAACAAAAUUGUUUGUAAACAGAGUUCUAGAUAAUAAACAUUGAGGGUGGUGUAAAAGGUGGGAUUAUUGUAAUAUUUUUUAUGACCCCCGCUUUAAAGUCUUCUAAAGUUAUCAUUUUUAAAACAAACAAAAAUUGGAAUGGCAAUUUAAAAAGUAUAUAGUUCCUAUGUGUAGGGACAGUGCCACUCUGCACGUUAAAGAACCCUUGCCACAAGUCUUUGAGGGGUCAGUAGGUGGCCUGUUGCAAGGCUUAAUUUCUGUCCAACAUAUCCUCCUCUCAGUUGGCAGUCAAAAUUUCCCUUACCUUCAUCAUAGGCCCACUUUAUAGAACCUACAAAUUGAUUUGUUAUGAAAUGAAGAGAUGCGAGACAUUACUAUCCUACAGAGAGACCAAAUGAUGUUGAUGUAAAAUAGGUUACUGUAUGGACUUCAACAAUGAGAAAAUCAUCCAACAUUAAAAUUUUGCAAUAUUCUGAAUUAGAAUGACUUUGUUAAUACCUCUAACCUUUAACAUCCGAUAUUUUUAUUAUCUAGAGCUCUGUAAAAAAAUAUACAAAAAAAAUAUAAAAAAUGAAAAUGCCAAAAAAUAUAUACAAAAAAAAUUAUCAAAAAUGAAAAUACCAAAAAAUGAUAUGAAAACAAAAUUGUUUGUAAACAGAGUUCUAGAUAAUAAACAUUGAGGGUGGUGUAAAAGGUGGGAUUAUUGUAAUAUUUUUUAUGACCCCCGCUUUAAAGUCUUCUAAAGUUAUCAUUUUUAAAACAAACAAAAAUUGGAAUGGCAAUUUAAAAAGUAUAUAGUUCCUAUGUGUAGGGACAGUGCCACUCUGCACGUUAAAGAACCCUUGCCACAAGUCUUUGAGGGGUCAGUAGGUGGCCUGUUGCAAGGCUUAAUUUCUGUCCAACAUAUCCUCCUCUCAGUUGGCAGUCAAAAUUUCCCUUACCUUCAUCAUCGGCCCACUUUAAUGAAAUGAAGUGAUGCGAGACAUUACUAUCCUACAGAGACCAAAUGAUGUUGAUUUAAAAUAGGUUACUGUAUGGACUUCAACAAUGAGAAAAUCAACCAACAUUAAAAUUUUGCAAUAUUCUGAAUUAGAAUGACUUUGUUAAUACCUCUAACCUUUAACAUCUGAUAUUUUUAUUAUCUAGAGCUCUGUAAAAAAAUAUUUAAAAAAUAUAUAAAAAAUGAAAAUACCAAAAAAUAAUAUGAAAACAAAAUUGUUUGUAAACAGAGUUCUAGAUAAAAAACAUUGAGGGUGGUGUAAAAGGUGGGAUUAUUGUAAUAUUUUUUAUGACCCCCACCUUAAAGUCUUCUAAAGUUAUCAUAUUUAAAACAAACAAAAAUUUGAAUGGCAAUUUAAAAAGUAUAGUUCCUAUGUGUAGGGACAGUGCCACUCUGCAUGUUAAAGAACCCUUGCCACAACUCUUUGUGGGGUCAGUAGGUGGCCUGUUGCAAGGCUUAAUUACUGCCAAACAUAUCCUCCUCUCAGUUGGCAGUCAAAAUUUCCCCUACCUUCAUCAUCAGCCAAUUUUUAUAGAACCUACAAAUUGAUUUGUUAUGAAAUGAAGAGAUGCGAGACAUUACUAUCCUACAGAGACCAAAUGAUGUUGAUGUAAAAUAGGUUACUGUAUGGACUUCAACAAUGAGAAAAUCAACUAACAUUAAAAUUUUGCAAUAUUCUGAUUUAGAAUGACUUUGCCUCUAAACUUUAAAAUCUGAUAUUUUUAUUAUUUAGAGCUCUGUAAAAAAAUAUGAAAAAAAAAAUAAAAAAAGAAAAUACCAAAAAAUAUGAAAACAAAAUCGUUUGUAAACAGAGUUCUAGAUAAUAAACAUUGAGGAUGUUGUAAAAAGUAGGCAUAUUUAAAAUUUUGUUUAUUAUUAUGAAUAGUGCACUGUAUAAUUUGUAAAAAUGUUUAUUGUGAAGUCUUGGAAAAUUGUGAAACUUUAGAACUGUUUUUAUUUGAGAUGUCUAUAUUCAGUCUUCAAUGAUUGUCAUGGCAAUUGAGGACAAUUAAAUAUAGCUCUGUGUAGAAAAUGACUUUUUUAUAUCAAGAAAGAUCCAACAAAAGUUUUCAAUGAUAUCUAAAGAGACAAAAGACAGAAAUACUAAAAGGUUUUCUAUGAGAUUGGUGGAUUAUGUACAGUCAGACAACUGGCACACUCAAGCUAAAAGUUAAAUAGCUAUUAAAAUAAAAUUAUGGACUUGUAUAAUAACAUUAAUGAAGACAGAUGUUCUAUUGUGAAGACAUGUUCAUACAUAAUGUUCUAUAGUGAAGACAAGUUCCUACAUAAUGUUCUAUAGUGAAGACAUGUUCCUACAUAAUGUUCUAUAGUGAAGACAUGUUCCUACAUAAUGUUCUAUAGUGAAGACAUGUUCCUACAUAAUGUUCUAUAGUGAAAACAUGUUCCUACAUAAUGUUCUAUAGUGAAGACAUGUUCCUACAUAAUGUUCUAUAGUGAAGACAUGUUCAUACAUAAUGUUGUAUAGUGAAGACAUAUUCCUACAUAUUGUUCUAUAGUGAAGACAUGUUCCUACAUAAUGUCUUAUAGUGAAGACGUAUUCCUACAUAUUGUUCUAUAGUGAAGACAUGUUCCUACAUAAUGUC